UGAGAAUCUGGGGACCAGAUUCCUUUAAGGAGGGGAGAUUGUAACACCCCGUAAUUUAUGCUUAUGUUAUAUAUACAUAUACACAAGAGUUUAUUAUGCUAAAUAAUAAGAUUAGAGGGUUGUUGUGAUAUUAUGGGAUAAAGUUGGGGUACAGAUAUAAUAAUAAUUUUAUAAACUUGGCAAUCAAGUUUAUGAUAGACGGAUAAGUGAGAAAGUCUUCGUCAUCUUCAUCCGAUUAAUAGCAUCUUCCAACUUCACUUCUGCCUAUAAAUUACCCCCUUCUCGUCGAUAGAAUCAUCAUCCACAAUCACAUAGAAUUCAAAGAAAUCAAGAGAUUUAUCGAAGAAAUAAUUUGAGAGAGAAAUCAAGAAGAUUGGAGAUAAGCUAGGGUUCGACCAACCGAGGGAAAGAUGUUGACUUGAUGAUCUUCCUGGCGGGUUUCAGCGAUCGGGAUAUAUCAUUCGAAAGCCCUCGAUGUAAGCUUCAAUUUGGUGGUGGUUUCCGGCUGUUGUCUCAGGUGGUGGUCGCCGGAGUUCAAUGAGAAGUCCAGCCUGCCGCUGAAGUUUCAAGAGUCGAUUUGAGUUAUGCCGGCAAAAUUCAAAGAAAUGAAGAACUGCUGCCGCACCUGUUUUCGGAGCAGAAUUUGGAGAGUUUGGAGUGCGAAUUCGGGAAUCAUUCCUUCACAAAACUCGUAGAGAACCUCGAAAACUAUUGGUAAGUGUAAAAUUGUAUCGAGUUAGAGUAUGUUUUGAAGCUGAUUAGAGGCCCGAAUUAAGUGACGGUAAAUCUGUCAAAACAGGGCAGUUUUGAGUAUUCGUUUUACGGGGCUGUUUAUGUUAUGUUAAGAUAAUAAUUUAGGCUAUAUGUCUUCUGAGAACCUGUAGAUUACAUUUUCAGGUUCAAUUUGGUAUAUUGUUUGGCCAAUUUGGAUAAUUUUACAAAUAGUUAUAAAUUUUACAAUAAGCUGUACCAGAAAUAAUCUUUCCAAAAUCCCGGCAGUUCUGUAAUGCUGGUUUGAGGCUGUUUCUGCUAUUUUCGGUUCCGAAUUUGGGACUAAAGCCUUUUGUGAACUCGUAGGAUUUUCUGUUAGCUUUCAUUUGACGUAUCAUGUGAUCAAUUUGGAUUAACGUGCUAAUUGUUAUGAUUUUUCAAACAAACUGUGCCAACAACGAAUUUUCCAAAAACCUGGCAGUUUCAUGUACUCAUCUUCCGGGGCUGUUAUUGCUGUGUUAGGUUAACAAUUUGGGCUCAGGGUCUUCAGUAAACCUGUAGACACUGAUGUUAGCUUUAAUUCGAUAUAUCGUUUAGGUUAUUCGGAUAAGUAAGGUGAUCGUAACGAUUGUUCAAAUAAGCUGUGGCAGCAAGACAUUCUUAAUAAAUGUUUCAAGAAAUUGAGUAUGUGGUAUAGUGGAAUAAUACGGUUAUAUUAGCAUUUAGAAUGUUGUUAAGUGAUGAAUAUUUUUAUAGGUAUCGAGCGUUCUAAGGUUCUCAUUCAAGAGCAUGACUCGAGAGUAAGGUGUUUUUAUAACACUUGCAUUGGACUUCAGGUGAGGAUCCCUACCCCUUGCCUAUUCUUUCUGAAAAACAGAAUAUAUGCCGAGCACUCGUAUCGUUCGGUUUAUUAUUGUUAUUACUCGUCUUUUAAAUUCAAUAUAUAUUUAUUGUCGCCUAUCCUGUGAACUAAUUUGAUUUCCGAGAAUUGUUGAUUCUUGAGCUA